GACUGUGAGGUCAUCUGGCUAUGCCAUCUGUCACCCCAGUGAUCGCCAGGGUUGAUUCGGCUGAUCUGGCUGCCUAGGCGGGUGUCCCCUUCCUCCCUCACCGCUCCAUAUGCGUCCCUCCCGAAGCUGCAUGCUUGGUCGAAGAGGACGGCCUUCCCCAAACAGAGAUGGACUGGUCUUCCCUCGAGGGUAUAUGAGUAGCUGCGCUCCCCUGCUAGAACCUCCAAACAAGCUCUCAAGGUCCAAAUACAAGUCAAUCAAGUAAGUUUGAGAGGUUUUGUAUUAAGCUACAAAGAAGUAUUUAAAAUAUCAGUAAAUAAACCUUCUAUAUGUAGCUA
ensembl:misc_RNA 7SK 7SK RNA